rnacentral:rRNA from 1 species
UACGUAGGGCGCAAGCGUUAUCCGGAAUUACUGGGCGUAAAGGGCUCGUAGGCGGCCAACUAAGUCAGACGUGAAAUCCCUCGGCUUAACCGGGGAACUGCGUCUGAUACUGGAUGGCUUGAGAUUGGGAGAGGGAUGCGGAAUUCCAGGUGUAGCGGUGAAAUGCGUAGAUAUCUGGAGGAACACCGGUGGCGAAGGCGGCAUCCUGGACCAACACUGACGCUCAGGAGCGAAAGCCAGGGGAGCAAACGGG